rnacentral:lncRNA from 1 species
GAAAUACUAAUCUGUGUUACAAACAGGUGCUGAAAAAUGUACAUUAUCAGAAAAUAAUCAUUAAAUGUGUUUUAAAGUUACACCGGAUCGAUUAAAUCCAAAACAUGCACUGCCCGUGACCUGUGAUCAAAAUGUCAAUUUCCUACAAUGACAAAAGAAAUUACAUUGUGUGCAUUCCGUCUCUAUACAUGUUGUCUGUUCAACGUCCCCACCUAAAAAGAAAUAAAAAGACUAAGUUUUCGUUAUUAUAAACCCGUGUCACGUGAUGUCGCGCGCGCUGUACCUAAAAUAAAAGAAACACUUUCCAAACUAAACAUGAAACUUCUCCGGUAACACAAUACUAUAGACCCCUUCAAACAAACAAACAAACAAACAAACAAACAAACAAACAAACAAAACAACACACACACACACACACACACACACACAUCAAUCAAUCAUCUUUUUAAGGGGGUGAAAGACCGUUCACAAUUGCUUUUUAAAAGCAAUUGAUUUAUAUUUAUUAUUUUUUUUCUUCCGCCAACAUUUUUUUUCCUUCGCUGUUUUUUUGUUUCGCAAGAUGUCGCUUAGAUAAAUGAAAUAUGAUAUCGAACAGUUUAUGCGCUUUUGAAACUGACACCGCGAAACCCAAUACUUUCCCAUAUAAGAGUUAUCUCCCCGAACACUGUUUUU